rnacentral:rRNA from 1 species
GGAGUAUGGGCCGUGUCUCAGUCCCAUUGUGGCUGAUCAUCCUCUCAAACCAGCUACUGAUCGUCGCCUUGGUGGUCCAUUACACCGCCAACUAGCUAAUCAGAUGCAGACUCAUCCUAGAGCACCGGAGUUUUCACGAAUAGCAUCUCAGCUACGCGCAUAUGAGGUAUUAGCAGGAGUUUCCCUCUGUUGUCCCUCUCUCUAGGGCAGAUUCUCUACAUAUUACUCACCCGUCCGCCACUUUCCAUUACCCGAAGGUAAUUUCUCGUUCGACUUGCAUGUAUGAAGCACGCCGCCAGCGUUCGUCCUGAGCCAUGUCAAACUCU